AUUGAACGCUGGCGGCAUGCUUUACACAUGCAAGUCGAACGGCAGCGCGGGCUUCGGCCUGGCGGCGAGUGGCGAACGGGUGAGUAAUACAUCGGAACGUGCCCAGUAGAGGGGGAUAGCUCGGCGAAAGCCGGAUUAAUACCGCAUACGACCUGAGGGUGAAAGCGGGGGAUCUUCGGACCUCGCGCUAUUGGAGCGGCCGAUGGCAGAUUAGCUAGUUGGUUGGGUAAAGGCCUACCAAGGCGACGAUCUGUAGCUGGUCUGAGAGGACGACCAGCCACACUGGAACUGAGACACGGCCCAGACUCCUACGGGAGGCAGCAGUGGGGAAUUUUGGACAAUGGGCGAAAGCCUGAUCCAGCAAUGCCGCGUGUGUGAUGAAGGCCUUCGGGUUGUAAAGCACUUUUGGCGGGAACGAAAAAGACUGUGCCAAUACCACGGUUCGAUGACGGUACCCGCAGAAUAAGCACCGGCUAACUACGUG
rnacentral:rRNA from 1 species